GCCUUGCUGACGAGUGCCAAACAGCACGAAAACUAGAUCCAAGGC
rnacentral:hammerhead_ribozyme from 1 species